GUUAGUGUAGUUAAGUUUUUAAUAAAGCAAGACACUGAAGAUGUCUAGACGGACCCGCUAGUCCCACCAACA